AAACACAAAGAAUGUCAAUGUGAGCAAGGACGUUAUGGGCAGUGUGGUGACGUGGGUCGGUCGCCUUGCUCGAGAAGAGUUUACAAGGAUUAUGCAGGAGCAACACUGGGUGAAUCUUCGCCCGAUCAUCAACGCCACAUUGAACUCCACAGCUAAUUCUUUCGGCGAUAACAUCAUCAUCUUGCAUACAUACACAGAAUUGCACUUACAGAAAUGCCCACGCAAUGAGAUUAUCGGCAUCGAUGCUGAGACAUUAUCUACUACCAUGGAUAUAUGCAGAAAGAUAUCCAACUACAUGGUGUACUUACUGGUUGUGCAGCCUUCCAUGAUGCCUCUAAGUGGCACCGCAGAGGACACAAUAGCAGAAUUCUACGAGAAGAUCAGCAAGAAGGGCAGCAGCAAGGAAGAUGUCCUGGACACUGCCUAUCACCUGGUGGAAGAUAAGCUGGAGUUCGGCUACGAGGAAUGCCUGAAAGAACAGGAGGAACCUGGGCCGUGGCGCGAGACACUGGCGGAGAUUCAAGAUAUGUGGAUGAGGCUGCUGCUUUACGCAGCCGGCAAAUGUCCGGUGGAGCUGCACGCCCAGCAGCUAGGCAGAGGAGGGGAGCUCCUCACCUUGGUCUGGUCGCUGAUGGCGCAUAAUGGCAUUGGAGAUGUUGGUCAUCAGGUUGAUCUUAGAACUAGUGAUGAAACUAUGGCAGGACCAUUUUGUGCAUUUUAUUUUCCUAAAGAAUCACCACACAUUUCUGCAUAGGCUAGAUACAGAUAUGCUGUGUGAACUGUAAGUCGAUGCCAAAAUGCAUGGAGUAAUUUUUGGGUGCCCAAGAAUUUAUUAAUUGAAGUUCAAAAUCAUGGCAUGUGUGAUCUUAACCGUGGACUAGAAAGUCACAUCAACAGCUCAUCCUCAUGCGUGCAUUGAUCUACAUUUUCGAUAAAACUGACAUAUAAAUGCAAACUUGAGGGCUUCCUAUAUGAGAUUGAUGAUACGAAAUUUACUUAUAAACAAAAGCCUUUCUCUAGUUUGGAUGGAACCCAUUGAAGUUCUCCAUAGUAGUGAAUACAAAACACUCCAUCUGACUUGACCUUCCCGACGGAACUUGAAUUACCAUGGAGCUAACAACAUAUGAACGGAAAAUCAUGUUACAACAAAAAGAAAAAAGGAGCAUAUAAUCUAUUUUUCUUGGCCAAUAU
rnacentral:lncRNA from 1 species